AUGAGCUUGUCUCUAUCCCAGCGUUUAGUAUAGUGCCUGGCACAUAGUACGCGCUUAACAAAUACCAUUCCAAUAAAUACUGUAUAUCUAAGUAGUCUUAGAUCGUGAGUACUCCAAGGAACAGAGACCAUGUCUACCUCCCACCUAUGUAUUAUUUCCCAGUGCUUGGUACAGCGCUCUGCACACUGUAAGCACUUGAUAAAUACUCUCACUGCUACUACUUCAGCUGUGGGACUGGUUCUGGUCUAAAUGCGAUUAAGCUCAGAGUUUGUUUCGGUAAUGUGCAUUUUACGUCCACCUUAGGACUCUUUGGUGUUUUUUUUCUGAAGGGACGUCAGGGAGAACCAUGGAGUUGCAAAUAAAUGUUAGUUCCCUAGGCAAGCAAACCCCAAGGCUAAGAAAUUAUGGACGUUGCUCUGCCCUCCCUUAAUAGCUGUGCAGAAUCGCCCCUCCCACCCUCCACCCCCAUCUCUCCUCUCCCCAACUCUUAAGUUUAGGACCCGGUGGUAUUGAGGAAUCUCCCCUCCCUCACCACCCCCGCCAUACCAGAUGCUUGGAACUGGAAGUUACGGUGUCAGGAUUCUUUUGUGUAAAAAUUCAACAAACCAAAUGUGUUAUUCUGAGCUGCAGUUUCCAUUUUCAGUUAGAUUAACUGUCACAAAGGAAGCUUCAGUUGGACGAUUUUAGCUCUCGAUUUCCUCCUUAUUAGUAGAAUGGACUAGAUCAUUUAAAAAACGUAUUCGUUUUUUUCCCAUAGUGUAAGCUACCCUGGGUUAAGGGAUUGGGAAAUACCACUAUUAAUUAUGCAUUCAUAUGGGGCGGUUUAUAUUGCAGAGGAUCAUAAAGUGUAUAUGUAUUUGUAUGUACUGUGAAACUGAGUAAAUGCAAAAAAAAAAAAUGUUGGGGAAAUGGUGAACAGUAUCUAAACCUCUCUGAGCCUUCAAACUCCAUCUGAUAUCACACCUACCUCACAGGGAUUACAUGAGGAAUCAUUUUCAUGUAUUAAAAUGAGAUUAUUAGAUGAAAUGUAACUGUUAUGCAUUAUCGCUACCAUUUUACCUGACCCCCAGAAUUUUAUUCUUUGGUGGCUGCCUGUACCUUUCAGACGUGAAUUUUCCUGACUGUUUUCUCUCUUUGAAAAUGGCCUUGGCUCCCGUUCACAGGGAGAGAUUCUGUCCUGUGUCAACGGGAAAAUCGUAAAAUACAGAACGGUAUUUUCCCCACCCUGCCGGCGGCAGCAAGGAGGGGUUUGUUUGAGCCCCAGCCUGGGGAUGCAAAGUGUCUGACGUGAUGACCGGGGUUGCAACUGAAAAUUGUUUUCUUCACCUUAAUCUCUCUGCUCUGCUGCGGCCUGGAAGUUUUUGCUGCGGGCUGUGAUACCUACUGGAGAGGGAGGGGAGGGAAAGUCUAAGUCUGUUGACCAGACACCAUUUAUAAGUCAAAAUCAGCCAAUUUCAUCCAGGAGCAAUACUCCGCUCCCCAAAACAGAGCUAAACCCCGUCUGCUCGGCAAAGCUCCUUGCGGCCUGGCUCCACUCCGAUCAGUUGUUUGGUGUCUUCCUAACUCCCUCCCUCUCCCCCCUCACCCAAACAUCCUCUCCCUUGGGUGGCCCAUUCCCUCCUUGAGGGUGGAUCAGUCUGGGUUGUGCUGUAGAGAAACCCGAUGGACCAGCCAACCCUCGUUCUCUGAUUUCGGAUCAAGGAGAGAAACGCCAUAGUCUCCAAUGGCCCUAGACUCUCAUUUUGCCCAGGUAUUCCCUACGCAGAUUGACUCAGCUUGGUGGCAGCUUCGUUCGGACCUCCGCCCUGAGGACUUCCUCCUUCAUCCCUUUUUAAUUCUUCCACAUGCAUAUACCUCAAAGGAAUUCAAGACUGACAAUUCAGGGAUGAAUUUAGAAGCGGAACAAAGUAGUUGUCCAUUUGUGAGAAACGAGACGCACUCCCUUUCCUUCAAAAGAAGAACGCCCUCCAAUUAAGGCAUGGCGGAUUCUUGGUUGCCUCUGCUAAUCUUUUCUCGUGGAGCUAAUUCGCUGAUUAUCCUACCUUCCCUGCCCACCGCUGCUCCCAAAGAGUGUAGUGAAGAAAUCUGAGACACGUUGGCUGAGGGGAGAAACCAUCCAAACCAUUUUUCUUCUCAACUUGAGCUAAAACUUGGCCGAAGUCCUCGAGGAACAGAGCUGCCGGUUUGCAGAGACAAGUAGUGCUGGUAGAGUGUAAAUUGAUGCAUUCCUCAUCAAUACAAGAGCCGGUUUGUUAGAAAGGAUGGUGCACACCAGUGACUUUGGUGGACUCUAAUUAGCUUCACCACAAGCUCAGCAAGGCCAUCAUCAGCUGUUCCGGGGCUGCAGAGUCUUUUAGCUCAUCUUUCUCAUCUUUUCCCUCAAGAAAUCAGCUACCUAAGCGCUGAUUGUGCAUGUCUGCCCUGAGGAAUUGGAGCCGUGUUGGAUGGAAACUUGGUGGGGAGAAAAUCCAUCCAGAGCCCUUUUCUUCUCAACUUGAGCUAAAGCUUGGUCGUAAUCCUCGAGGAGCAGAACUGCCCGGGUUCAGAGACCAGUAGUUCUGGCAAAGUGCAAAUUGAGGCAUUCCUCAUCGGUACAAGAGCCGGCUCGUUAGGAGAGAGGGGGUCUGAGGAAGAAGCAUGUCCAUCAGGGACCUUUGGUGGACUCUAAUUAGCUUCACCGUGAGCUCAGCAAGGCCAUCACCAGCUCUUCUGGGGACUACAGAGCCUUUUAGCUCAUCUUCCUCAUCUUUUCACUCCCAAGGUUCUUUAGAAAUCAGCUACCUAGGAGCUGAUGGUGCAUGUCUACCCUAAUAUAUACACAGAGGUUCCUCGCUUCUUUCUAAGCCAUCCUAUAUGUUUGCUUAAAUUUGCUCUGUCCUAGACUAUCUCUUUGGGGCAUUCAGGACGUACAGUAGAGUCAAACCUUACUGAGGACUAGGAGAGGCUGUCUUUCAUUCCGAUUAUUCCAUGAAUAAUCCCAACGGCACAGCGUGUCAUCCUAAAAAACAGUUUUCUUUUUUUUUCUAGUAAGCAAGCUCACUUUUUCAGUCAGAAAGCAAGCAGCUGACCACACUCGCAAGAUUUAGAGAGCAGAUUACUAGAAGCGCCCAGAUUCAAAGUCACUUUGACCUUGAGCCGAGGUUUUGGCUUGCAGAGUGAACAUAGUGUAUGUUACUGAGGCUGCACCGUAUUAGAGAAGAACAGAUGGGACUUAGCCUCCAUCUGGCAGCUAAGCGUGUCAAUGACAAAGCUACGCCCUCCAACACAGGAAGCCCAGUUUUGGCAAGAACUGGAGCUCCCUAGCAGCUCAGAUACUAUGGGAGAGAGGGUGACUCUUCUUAGAUCCAGUAGGAGGGUAUCAAUCAGUGGUAUUUAUUGAGCAAUUAAUCAAGGUGGAUGAUUUGCGCAGAUUCUUAGAGCACGGCUACAACUCCAACUUCAGGAAAGACCUGAUGUCUGGAGCUUUCCCAGGAGGGAGGGAUGGGAAAAUGGCUCCAUCGAAUGAACUACUAGAGUUCUGUCUUCCUUCUAGGAGGCGGAGAGGGCCACCACCCAAAGCCGACAAGUUAUUCCUUCCUGGGGCCUUUUAAUGACAGACCCGGGUCACUGAGCGGAUACCAAACCUCUCAAUUCACACGUGAGAAUUCCACAAAUGAAUUCUCAUCCUCAUCCGACCCAAAGCAGUUGGUUGAAAUUCAGGUCAAAUUCAGCACUCCCCACCCCACCGUCUUUUCCUCUUCGGGGUCCUCUAAAAGACCGCCUGCUCUCGGUCACUGCUAACUAUGCACGAAAUCUUUGGGGGUGACGGCAGGGAGAGGGGAAUCAUUUCCCGUAGUAGUACUAGCAACCUUUAAGGGGGAUUUUUUUAAAAAAAUUCUGGAGAAGAAAAAUGACACCAUGUCAUCAUAUCUUAAGGGAUGAAAGGGAAGAUUCUAUGCAUUUGAAUUCAUAUUCACUUCAGGAUGGAUUGUACCCGAAAUAAUACACGUAGUCAGGUGCAAUUUUGGUAGUUAGCAGAGAUUCUGGUAGAGAGAGACGGAGCGAGGCUUUUUCGAGGACACAGACACCUGCAAGCAAUGUGUCAGCCAGUCUCUUGACAAUCAGAUCGUUCAAGUCCUUGUGAAAUGUAGCUUGACAGCGACGGAACUUCUUGGUCCACAUGUUUUGAUGUGAGUAUAAUGCGGUAGUGAAAUUAUGUGGUAUAUACCAAUAGGCUAAUAGCGUCUACCUGUAAGUUUGGGUUUGCUAAUGUAAUACAUUUCAAUAAAAAGCUAUUCAAAAUGUUA